rnacentral:piRNA from 1 species
UCAUUCUGAUAUUGUGUCUGUGAGCC